rnacentral:lncRNA from 1 species
GACUCCGCAUGCGCACUGGAGCCCCGGAAUCCAGCCGGGACUCUCCCAACGGAGAGCGCCCCUGAGUUGGGCCAAGCCCAUUCAUUCAGGGGCUUCCGAGCCACGUAGGCGCCAUCCCUGGCCAGAGGGGUUCUGAGGAGGUGGGCAAGGGCAGACACUCUCUCCCGGUCUCAAAUUCGAAAUAGGGACGAGAAGGGAACUUCACGCGAGGCUCCGCAAGUGUCGCGAGAAUCAUAACAGGAAAUCUAGGAACCGAGAACAGUUAAGAGCCCGCGGAUUUUAAACAGGAAAAAGAAAGGGCGGAGCAAGCUCUGGCGGGUAGUUGUGAGUAAUUCCUGGUCCUUGGAGUAAGUGUCGACCUGAGGCAGAAGGGGAACUGUCAGAGAGCUGCCGGAGACCUUGAAAAAGGCCAGAGACGGGGACUUGUGGGGCUGACGAAUGGAGUCACCCAAGGAGAGGUCUCUGGCUCUAACAAAACACCUUGGGGACGGAGCUCCUUGCCCCGGAUACAGAGCAGAAACAAGUCCGGGAUCUUUUAGUGGAUUGCUGCCGGCUUCUAAGGCCUGGAGCCGAUAUUCAACAACUAACUCCACGGACCUAGAAACUCUCCUCUUAUCCUACUAUUGUAGCCGGUGGCUUACUUUUGGUCUUCCCUAUGCUCUAAGCUUCUGGUAGUAGGAAUCGUGCCUAACUCACUACUGUAUCUUGUGAACCUAGCCCCGCGCCUGGUGGCACGUCAAAUUCUCGGUAAAUAUUUGUGGAUUAAAUGUGAAAGACUGCCUGAGUGUUUAACCUGGAUUUUCUGAGUCGCUGAUGGAGAACAGUAGGUAGACGGGGAACCAGCGCCCUCUGGUGGGCUUGUGGUUCGUGACGAGAACAUGCUGGAACCGUGCAUCCAGGUAGGUACAAAGAUAAUAAAAGGGGAUCCCCUGUUAUUAAGUAGAGAUUUUGUUCCAGUAAAACCCUACAUACCGUAAAAA